CCUACGGGCGGCAGCAGUGAGGAAUAUUGGUCAAUGGGCGGGAGCCUGAACCAGCCAAGCCGCGUGAGGGAAGAAGGUACAGCGUAUCGUAAACCUCUUUUGUCAGGGAACAAAGGCGGGGACUAGUCCCCGGAUGAGGGUACCUGAAGAAAAAGCAUCGGCUAACUCCGUGCCGGCAGCCGCGGUAAUACGGAGGAUGCGAGCGUUAUCCGGAUUUAUUGGGUUAAAGGGGUGCGUAGGCGGAAUGUCAAGUCAGCGGUAAAAAUUCGGGGCUCAACCCCGUCGGGCCGUUAAAACUGAUGUUCUUGGGUGGGCGGGAAGUAUGCGGAAUGCGUGGUGUGGCGGGAAAAUGCUUGGAUAUCACGAAAAACUCCGAUUGCAAGGGCAGUUCACUGGACUGCAACUAACACUGAGGCUCGAAGGUGUGGGUAUCAAACGGACUUGACUCCCCAGUAGUC
rnacentral:rRNA from 1 species